CCGACCAGGACUGCUGGAUGGGGGAC
rnacentral:sRNA from 1 species